rnacentral:lncRNA from 1 species
GGCCCCUCUCUCUGAAGCCCCCUCUAGCAUCCUCGAGUAACAGUGCUGCAGUCUCUUCUGCUUUAAAAUGGAGGCAGAACCAGGUUUAUUCUGAUGGGGAACAAAGCAGUGGUUGUCACAGUGAGGACACAGUUUGUAGAAGGGCAGUCAGGGUUUGUCUUCACCUCCGUUAUGUGAGCAGGAUAGGAGAGCUUUUCUCCACAGAUGUGUGAGCCCAGUGACUUGAAAUGCACCCGAGCUGGCUAAGGCCUACUCUUCUUAAUUCCUACCUUUUUUCUGUUGCCAUACAAAUUGCCUGACACUGUGUUAAUUAAAACAUCCUUUU